rnacentral:rRNA from 1 species
UACAUGUGGGGCAAGCGUUGUUCGGAAUCACUGGGCUUAAAGGGCGCGUAGGCGGGUGCUCAAGUCCGGGGUGAAAUCCUCCAGCUCAACUGGAGAACUGCCUCGGAUACUGGGUGUCUCGAGUGUGGUAGGGGUAUGCGGAACUAUCGGUGGAGCGGUGAAAUGCGUUGAUAUCGAUAGGAACUCCGGUGGCGAAGGCGGCAUACUGGACCACUACUGACGCUGAUGCGCGAAAGCCAGGGGAGCAAACGGG